rnacentral:rRNA from 1 species
CCUACGGGGGGCAGCAGUGAGGGAUAUUGGUCAAUGGGAGAGAUCCUGAACCAGCCAAGCCGCGUGAGGGAAGACGGCCCUAUGGGUUGUAAACCUCUUUUGUCGGAGAACAAAACCCGGGACGUGUCCCGGACUGCGUGUAUCCGAAGAAAAAGCAUCGGCUAACUCCGUGCCAGCAGCCGCGGUAAUACGGAGGAUGCGAGCGUUAUCCGGAUUUAUUGGGUUUAAAGGGUGCGUAGGCGGUCAUGCAAGCCAGAAGUGAAAUCUGGGGGCUUAACCCCCAAACUGCUUUUGGAACUGCGUGU